rnacentral:rRNA from 1 species
AUCGAACGCUGGCGGCAGGCUUAACACAUGCAAGUCGAGCGGGGUGAUGGUGCUUGCACUAUCACUUAGCGGCGGACGGGUGAGUAAUGCUUAGGAAUCUGCCUAUUAGUGGGGGACAACAUCUCGAAAGGAUGCUAAUACCGCAUACGUCCUACGGGAGAAAGCAGGGGAUCACUUGUGACCUUGCGCUAAUAGAUGAGCCUAAGUCGGAUUAGCUAGUUGGUGGGGUAAAGGCCUACCAAGGCGACGAUCUGUAGCGGGUCUGAGAGGAUGAUCCGCAACACUGGGACUGAGACACGGCCCAGACUCCUACGGGAGGCAGCAGUGGGGAAUAUUGGACAAUGGGGGGAACCCUGAUCCAGCCAUGCCGCGUGUGUGAAGAAGGCCUUAUGGUUGUAAAGCACUUUAAGCGAGGAGGAGGCUCUUUUGGUUAAUACCCAAGAUGAGUGGACGUUACUCGCAGAAUAAGCACCGGCUAACUCUGUGCCAGCAGCCGCCGUAA